rnacentral:rRNA from 1 species
UGGUGGAGUGAUUUGCCUGGUUAAUUCCGUUAACGAACGAGACCUCGACCUGCUAAAUAGUUGGCAUCAUCUUUUCGAUGGUGUGAUAAACUUCUUAGAGGGACUAUCGGUGUGUAGCCGAUGGAAGUUCGAGGCAAUAACA